UCCUUUGCCCCCAUAACUUCAGCUUCGUCUACAGAACAGAGUCCAGAUCUCUAAGCUCUGAAUCCCUCCCAGUCUGAGAGUCUAUGGUUUAUCGGGCCCAUGUUUGCGCUUCCAUUGAACUCUGGCCCCACAGGAUAAUGCUGGGGACAGUGACUCUGCCUGCUUCAGGUCAAGGAGAUAAACUAGCUUCCUGUGCUGCUCUUGAGCAAAUACAUCAAGGAGGAAGCUCAAACACCCUGGCUCAGGACCGUUCUAUCACAACUGAAGCUUCCCUACCGAUACCCAAGAGCCAUUUAACCUGCCUCCCGGAUCUGAAGAAAAGGGUGGCCUGGAUUCUUAGCCCCGUGUUUCAGACUGUCAGGAUGUGUGAAUCAGACACUCAGAAACUCAUUCCUGCUCCCUUCCUCCGGUGAUGUUUGCUGAGCUCAUCCGCCUAACAGAAAGACCCUGUCAGGGCUGGCAGGCUGGAAGACAAGAGCAGGUUCACUGUCCUAGGGAAGUGCAUCCAAGUCUUCAACUGGAACGCCUUUGUGUCCUUUCCACUGACACCCAGAGCCAUUUGAGUACCCACAGAAGGUUAGAAGAGGGCAUUGGUUCCC